GACGAACGCUGGCGGCGUGCCUAAUACAUGCAAGUCGAGCGAAUCAAUAGGAGCUUGCUCCUGUUGGUUAGCGGCGGACGGGUGAGUAACACGUGGGCAACCUGCCUGUAAGACUGGGAUAACACCGGGAAACCGGUGCUAAUACCGGAUAAUCUUUUUCCUCUCAUGAGGAAAAACUGAAAGUCGGUUUCGGCUGACACUUACAGAUGGGCCCGGGGCGCAUAAGCUAGUUGGUGAGGUAACGGCUCACCAAGGCGACGAUGCGUAGCCGACCUGAGAGGGUGAUCGGCCACACUGGGACUGAGACACGGCCCAGACUCCUACGGGAGGCAGCAGUAGGGAAUCUUCCACAAUGGACGAAAGUCUGAUGGAGCAACGCCGCGUGAGCGAUGAAGGCCUUCGGGUCGUAAAGCUCUGUUGUUAGGGAAGAACAAGUACCGGAGUAACUGCCGGUACCUUGACGGUACCUAACCAGAAAGCCACGGCUAACUACGUGCCAGCAGCCGCCGUAACAC
rnacentral:rRNA from 1 species